CCUAGUUACCGCAUCCACACACGAUAUCCCGACCUCCUGACUGGGCCAUGUAAAACACCACACAGAACCAGGAAGAUACUGAGAUCUGUCAUGGUUAGCUGGGCAAUUGCUGGAGGCUGGAGCCAAUUUGUUUAAUUAAAGAGAAUUAAGGGAAGAAGUGUCCCCAAUUAAAGCAGGAAAAAUCGUCUGUUUUUAAGUGGGAAUUCAGACCUGGCUGGCUUCUUAGUCUCUACAGCUGAAAAGCCAGCCCAGAAACAGAAGAAACCGGCCGCUGGGCUGACAGCAGCUCCCUUUAUCUCUCAGCGAGGACGAUAAAUGGCAGCUCCUGAUCAAAAGGAGGCCGGGACUGACAGAGGCGGCUGAAUGGAGAGCCGCGUCUCUGGGGUCAGGGCUGGACCGCACCGGCGACGCUAGGCUGCUGCCGCAGGGAGAUAAUCCUGGCAGCGCGGAGAGGAGGCUGCGAUGCGUGUUUAUCAGCAGGACAUUGCAACGGGAGCUGCCUCUUAUCCUUGCUGUGAAAGCACCGCGGCAGAGAUACAGCCAGCUGUUUCCUCCCCAGCGAAGGGCAGGGUAUGCGGCGCAGGCGGGUGGCCGAGCAGGUCGCGGGCUCGCCUGGGCUUCAGGAAAGCAGGUGUCUAUUCCUGGC